GACGAACGCUGGCGGCGUGCCUAAUACAUGCAAGUCGAGCGGAGCUGAUGAGGUGCUUGCACCUCUGAUGCUUAGCGGCGGACGGGUGAGUAACACGCAGGUAACCUGCCUGUAAGACUGGGAUAACCCACGGAAACGUGAGCUAAUACCGGAUAGGCGAAACUCUCGCAUGGGAGAUUCGAGAAAGGCGGAGCAAUCUGCCACUUACAGAUGGACCUGCGGCGCAUUAGCUAGUUGGUAGGGUAACGGCCUACCAAGGCGACGAUACGUAGCCGACGUGAGAGGGUGAUGGGCCACACUGGGACUGAGACACGGCCCAGACUCCUACGGGAGGCAGCAGUAGGGAAUCUUCCGCAAUGGGCGAAAGCCUAACGGAGCAACGCCGCGUGAGUGAUGAAGGCCUUCGGGUCGUAAAGCUCUGUUGCCAAGGAAGAACAGCCGAGAGAGUAACUGCUCUCGGAAUGACGGUACUUGAGAAGAAAGCCCCGGCUAACUACGUGCCAGCCGCCGCCGUAAUAC
rnacentral:rRNA from 1 species